rnacentral:rRNA from 1 species
CGAAUAAGAAGUCCGGCUAACUUCGUGCCAGCAGCCCGCGGUAAUACGAAGGGACCUAGCGUAGUUCGGAAUUACUGGGCUUAAAGAGCACGUAGGUGGUUAAGAAAGUUGGUGGUGAAAUCCCAAGGCUUAACUUUGGAACUGCCACCAAAACUUUUUAACUAGAGUAUGAUUGAGGUAAGCGGAAUUUCUAGUGUAGAGAUGAAAUUCGUAGAUAUUAGAAAGAACACCAAUUGCGAAGGCAGCUUUCUGGAUCAUUACUGACACUGAGGUGCGAAAGCAUGGGUAGCGAAGAGGAUUAGAUACCCUCGUAGUCCAUGCCGUAAACGAUGUGUGCUAGACGUUGGGAAUUUAUUUUUCAGUGUCGCAGCAAAAGCGUUAAGCACACCGCCUGGGGAGUACGACCGCAAGGUUAAAACUCAAAUGAAUUGACGGGGACCCGCACAAGUAGUGGAGCAUGUGGUUUAAUUCGAAGAUACGCGCAGAACCUUACCAACACUUGACAUGUUCGUCGCGACUCUAAGAGAUUAGAGUUUUCGGUUCGGCCGGACGAAACACAGGUGCUGCAUGGCUGUCGUCAGCUCGUGUCGUGAGAUGUUGGGUUAAGUCCCGCAACGAGCGCAACCCUUACUUUUAGUUGCUACCAUUUAGUUGGGCACUCUAGAAGAACUGCCGGUGAUAAGCUGGAGGAAGGUGGGGAUGACGUCAAGUCCUCAUGGCCCUUAUGUGUUGGGCUACACACGUGCUACAAUGGUAUUUACAGUGGGAUGCAAAGAGGCAACUCCAAGCCAACCCUCAAAGAAUACCUCAGUUCGGAUUGUACUCUGCAACUCGAGUACAUGAAGCUGGAAUUACUAGUAAUCGCGGAUCAGCGCGCCGCGGUGAAUACGUUCCCGGGUCUUGCACACACCGCCCGUC